AUACGUAGGGGGCGAGCGUUGUCCGGAAUUACUGGGCGUAAAGGGCGCGCAGGCGGAUAUUUAAGUCAGCUGUAAAAGGCAUGAGCUCAACUCAUGUAUGCGGUUGAAACUGGGUAUCUAGAGUGCUGGAGAGGUAGGCGGAAUUCCCGGUGUAGCGGUAAAAUGCGUAGAUAUCAGGAAGAAUACCAGUGGCGAAGGCGGUUUGCUGGCUGCAUACUGACGCUGAAGCGCGAAAGCCAGGGGAGCAAACGGGAUUAGAUACCCCGGUAGUCCUGGCAGUAAACGAUGUAUGCUGGGUGUGGGAGUAGCGAUACCUCCGUGCCGAAGUUAACGCGAUAAGCAUACCGCCUGGGGAGUACGGUCGCAAGAUUGAAACUUAAAGGAAUUGGCGGGG
rnacentral:rRNA from 1 species